AUUGAACGCUGGCGGCAGGCCUAACACAUGCAAGUCGAACGAGUGGCGGACGGGUGAGUAAUGUCUGGGAAACUGCCUGAUGGCGGGGGGUAACUACUGGAAACGGUAGCUAAUACCGCAUACCAUCAGAUGUGCCCAGAUGGGAUUAGCUAGUUGGUGGGGUAACGGCUCACCAAGGCGACGAUCCCUAGCUGGUCUGAGAGGAUGACCAGCCACACUGGAACUGUGACGCGGUCCGGACUCCGGCGGGAGGCAGCAGUGGGGAAUAUUGCACGAUGGGCGCAAGCGUGAUACAGCCAUUCCGCGUGUAGCAAGAAUGCCUUGGGGUUGUAAAGUACUUACGGCGGUGAGGCAGUACCCGAAGAAGAAGCACCGGCUAACUCCGUGCCAGCAGCCGCGGUAAUUC
rnacentral:rRNA from 1 species